GGGAUUUUUAUUAUUUUUCUAAUUUAAGUUGUUAAAUUAUUUAUAUUUAAGGUAUGAUGUAUAUAUUUAUAUAAAUGUUAAGAUGCAUGUCAUAAUUAAAAUUUAUUUUUAAAUUUUAACACGUUAAAUUAACAUAUUUUUUACUAUUUAAAUAUCUUUUUUUGUAAUUUUGUUGGCUAUCUAGUUAUCAUAUUUAGCAAAACUAUCCGUUGAAUGUUGAAAUAAAUGUUUUAGAUAUUUAAUUAAACUGUAGAGUAUUUUCGGAUCGACCACAUGCUCAACAAUCGAUCCAUCCG
rnacentral:lncRNA from 1 species